AGUGAACGCUGGCGGUAGGCCUAACACAUGCAAGUCGAACGGCAGCACAGUAAGAGCUUGCUCUUACGGGUGGCGAGUGGCGGACGGGUGAGGAAUACAUCGGAAUCUACUUUUUCGUGGGGGAUAACGUAGGGAAACUUACGCUAAUACCGCAUACGACCUACGGGUGAAAGCAGGGGAUCUUCGGACCUUGCGCGAUUGAAUGAGCCGAUGUCGGAUUAGCUAGUUGGCGGGGUAAAGGCCCACCAAGGCGACGAUCCGUAGCUGGUCUGAGAGGAUGAUCAGCCACAAUGGAACUGAGACACGGUCCAGACUCCUACGGGAGGCAGCAGUGGGGAAUAUUGGACAAUGGGCGCAAGCCUGAUCCAGCCAUACCGCGUGGGUGAAGAAGGCCUUCGGGUUGUAAAGAACUUUUGUUGGGAAAGAAAAGCAGCAGGUUAAUACCCCGCUGUUCUGACGGUACCCAAAGAAUAAGCACCGGCUAACUUCGUG
rnacentral:rRNA from 1 species